GGUGUCAGCCCAGGAGAGAGAACAUGGAGAUAAUUUUGAUAAACAACCAAACUUGAAUGAAAAUAAUUUGACAAUCCCGGACAACGUAUCUGAACGCAGGCUUCCUAAAAACCAUAAUGAGGUAUUGAACAAGGUCUUGGGAAUAUAUACAGAGAUUAAGAAAAUUACGAAGAUCAAAAAACUUAAAGAAACAUUCAAAGUUAGCGAAAGGCCAAUACCUGGAAAUGACUAAAUGUUAUUGAUAAAAACAAUGUAAAAUAUCAUUUUUACAUAAGUGAAAUUUCGGAAUACAAUACAAAUUAUGAAAAUAUAUUUAACGGUACACAUCAAUCAGAGCUUUUGCACCAAGAUUUUUGUUACAGACAUUUUAGUAACUUCAAAACUAGCUAUCGAUAUGACUUCAAAGUUAUUUACAACAAAGUAUGACUAUUUCUACAAUCAGAUUGUUGCAGGUUUGGGUCCGUAAGUUUGACAAUUUUGGAAUAUGAAGACAACAACUUCCUUGAGUGUUUUUAGUAGGUUAUGUCCAAUAAAAAUAAAAUUGUUCGCUAUACAGCAUUGCCUUGGCGUUCUUGAUUGCGAGAUUCCUACUCCGAAGGCUUGAUUAUGGAGGCAAUUGCAAACCUCUUUCUACACCUUAGCUUUCAUCCACCUCGGGAUUCGAACUGAACUAAGGAUUGUGAGUCCAACUGACUACCAGCGACUCUACCGAGACAGGACCCAGGGAGACGGCCUGGACUUAGCUAACGACCUAACCUCUAGGUUAGACCGGGGCCAACAUUUACUUCCACGUCCGACGGAAGGCGUGAUAAGACAAAAUCUCGUCUCGAAAAAUGCCACCGUGACCUUCUGUAGCAGGGUCUUACUUAUUUGUAGUUAAUGAUGUUCAGAUCUUUCGUUGGAUAGGUAGUCAGAAUCUAUGUUUUGUAGAUCUGGCAAUCAUUUAAGUUAAAUUUAUAUACUUUUUAAGGCUAUCUUCACUUUUUUUAAUACCUACCGCGCGAUACACCCAAUUGCUAAGUUGUUAGUAGAUUUGCCUACUCCUGUAUGGGGAUUGAUGUUUAUGUAUUGGUUAUGUCAACAACAAAACGUGAGGUUUUUUCAAAUUCACAAUGUUUACACUUUACGGUGGAAUAAUGAGAAUAAACAUUUCAAAAUUCUAAAUGCUUCUUGCCAUUAUAAAAACAGAACUUUCAAAUGGAAUCAUCAUUCAAUUCCACCAUGCACUUUACAAAAACGGUUGCUCUAGGAUUAUUCCUCGUUGUUACUCUGGUUGUUUCAGCUCGGGAGAGGGAACAUGGUGACAAUUAUGAUGAACAAACUUAAAUGAAAAUUACUUGGCAACCCGGAACAAUGUUUCGAUUGCUCCACCAAAAACACGAGAUAUGCUGCAAAACUAAUUAAACCGAACUAAUUCCACAGUACGCAGGCUACCUAAGAACCAUAAUAUGGUUAUCAACAAGAUCGUUAAGCAAUAUUUAAUGCUUAAGAAUAUUGCGGGGAUCAAAAAGUUUAAAACUAAUAAAAUGAAACUAAAUGGAAAUGACUAAAUUUUAAACAUAAGUAGUGAAUGUAGUUAAACACACAAUAAACCAGUUUCAGCCAUA